AACCUAGCACACCUGCGGUGUGUACCUGCGGAGGGAUCAUUAACAAGCUGUGGGAGAUCAAUUUGAUCUCACACCUGGCCAACCUUGUUAACCUUAAAUAUAUUGCUUUGGUGAGCCCUGCUCACCAAAGUCAAACCCUAAACUCUUGAUUGUUUCUGCUGUCUGAGCAUGCAAGUGCAAAAUUUAGUUAAAAACUUUCAACAAUGGAUCU
rnacentral:misc_RNA from 1 species